AAGCGCUUGCAAUCAGACUUGCGCGUCGUCGAUCAUCUGGUGUUCUCACCGGUGCGCUCGGCGAUGUUCAGGCCAGCAUCAGUUUUGAUGGUUGGAUAAAGGCCCUGGGAAUGUGGCUCUCCUCGGAGAGUGUUAUAGCCCAAGGUGCAAUACAGCCCACCGAGACUGAGGACCGCGCUUCGGCUAGGAUGCUGGCGUAAUGGUUGCAAGCGA
rnacentral:rRNA from 1 species